rnacentral:rRNA from 1 species
ACUGAUUGCGUUCACGUGGCGGCGGGAGGACGGAGGGUGCGGGGGUGAAUCGGAAUUACUUGGCGGAAAGCGGGCGCAGGCGGUUUUGUAAGACAGAUGUGAGAUCCCCGGGCUCAACCUGGGACCUGCAUUUGUGACUGCAAAGCUGGAGUGCGGCAGAGGGGGAUGGAAUUCCGCGUGUAGCAGUGAAAUGCGUAGAUAUGCGGAGGAACACCGAUGGCGAAGGCAAUCCCCUGGGCCUGCACUGACGCUCAUGCACGAAAGCGUGGGGAGCAAACAGGAUUAGAUACCCGUGUAGUC